rnacentral:lncRNA from 1 species
CUAAGAUGUUAAUGGGUAAAAGUAUUGGGGUUGGUUGAAUAUAUUUUCCGAAAUAACCUAAUCCCCUUUUUGUAAGACCCGCAUAGAAAUAUGCCACGGAUGUGAGUAAAGCCAAAGCAACAGUAGUAUUUAUAUCAUUCGUGGGUGCGGCUAACUCCCCAUGAGGUAAUUGUAUGAUUUUCCAAGGUAAAAGAGCUCCUGACCAAUUAGAAACAAAAAUAAAUAAAAACAUAGUGCCAAUAAAAGGAACCCAGGGCCCAUAUUCUUCUCCAAUUUGAGUUUUACUAACAUCUCGAAUGAAUUCAAGAACAUAUUCGAAGAAAUUCUGACCCCCGGUCGGAAUGGUUUGUGGGUUCCGAACAGCUAUAGUGGCUGAACCUAAUAAGAUAGCAAUUACAACCCACGAAGUAAUAAGUACUUGGCCAUGUACUUGGAAACCUCCUAUUUGCCAAUAGAAAUGUUGGCCUACUUCCACACCGGAUAUAUCGUAUAACCCCUUUAGAGUAUUGAUGGAACAUGAUAGAACAUUCAUAUUGCCUUGCCCUCUGAAAAAAUCGAACUUUAAACAAAAUUUUUUGAUUCAACCAUCUCUUUGUCUACUUGAAUCGGAUAUUUUGAAUACCAACUAAGAUUUAGAAUACUAAUAAAUCACAUAAUAUCCCCAGUUAUUUUGAUCUAUUUUUGGAAAUUCAGAAAUAGUAAGCGAUUCCAUAAGGGAUUUCUAGGGAUUUCUGAAGUAAGUUAUUUAUCUUAUUAUGUUAUUAUUAAUCAAGGAUUUCUUAUAUAGCUAGAACGACCCUCACAAAUUGCGAAUACUAAUUUGUUAAGAAUUAAUCGGAUUGAGGAUAUGGCGUCAUCAUUCGCUGGAAUUGAAAUAUCUGCGAGAUCGGGGUCACAAUUUGUAUCGGUUAAACAAAUUGUUGGAAUUCCUAAAGUAAUACACUCUCGCAGGGCCGUAUAUUCUUCGUGCUGAUCAACGAUGAUUACAAUAUCGGGUACCCCUGUCAUAUAUUUAAUACCGCCCAGAUAUGUUUGCAAGCGAGAUAAUUGUCUUUUCAACAUAGCUGCAUCUCUUUUCGGGAGACGGUUGAGUCUCCCUGUUUUUUGUUCCAUUCUCAAGUCCCUGAACUUAUGAAGUCUUGUUUCUGUAGUGGACCAAUUCGUUAACAUACCGCCAAGCCAUUUUUUAUUAACAUAAUGACACCGGGCCCUUAUUGCAGCCCACUCUACUGAAUCAGCUGCUUUAUUUUUGGUACCAACAAUUAAGAAUUGUUUUCCCCUACUUGCUGCGUCAAAAACUAAAUCACAAGCUUCUGAUAAAAAACGAGCAGUUCUAGUAAGAUUUGUAAUAUGAAUACCCUUACGCUUUGCAGAGAUAUAAGGCGCCAUUUUAGGAUUCCAUUUCCUAGUACCAUGACCAAAAUGAACUCCUGCCUCCAUCAUCUCUUCCAAAUUUAUGUUCCAAUAUCUUCUUGUCAUUUCUCCCCACAACCUCCCCCCCUUUUUUUAUUCUUUUUCAAAAAAAAAAAGAGACGAGGAACCCUGAACUGAAAUAAAUAAUUGUUCCGAUGGAACCUUCUCUUCUACUGUAGAUUGGACGUAGAUACACGACCCAAACCAUUAUUCUUUUCUAUUCAUUAUUCUUUUUAUUACCAAAGCAAAUAACCAUACCAAAUGCAGAUAGCGAAAGAGACGAAUCCGUUGUUAGGAAUCAUUAAAUCCUAUAAAUGAUUGUUCGGGUAUGUCGUGGAAUUUUUUUGAAAGACAAGAAUCAAAUAAUUUUCUGUGGUGGAACAAAAUAUCUCUCAUCUCCCCCUCGAAUAGAUUUGUUUUUUUUGUUUCCAAAGGAAUGUUGUUAUGUUGUUUUGAAGGGUGCACUAAUCCCUUGAAUCCGGUACCAACGGGUAUCACCCCCCCCAAAACAACGUUCUCUUUCAGGCCUUUCAACCAAUCGAUACGACCCCGGAGAGCCGCUUUUGCUAAAACUCGAGCAGUUUCUUGAAAACUUGCUUCAGAUAUGAAACUUUGAGUAUUGAGAGAUGCUCUUGUUAUUCCCAAUAAGACGACUCGGUAACAGAUCGCUUCUUCCAAAGCGCGCCCCAUUCGUUCUGCUCGCAACAAUCCAAUAAGUUCUCCGGGUGAAAAAACAUUAGACAUUCCAUCUUCUGAAAUCAACACUUUUGAUGUUAUUUGACGUACAAUAAUUUCUAUAUGCCUAUUAUGAAUCUGCACCCCCUGGGAGCGAUAAACCUGUUGGAUUUUAUUAACCAAAGAGAUUCGGCUUUGCGCUAUAGUUAGCUCAGCACCAAUCAAGAAUCCCCAAGGAAUUCCAAGAAUUCUUGGUAUACAUUUGUUCCAACCCUCAACCCUCUUUUCUAGAUUCAUGGAUAUUGAAUCAAUCGAACGCACUUCUAAGACCUGUUCUACUUUUGGAAGACCCUGUGUUAUAUCACCAGAUCUCGAUUUUUCAUAUAUAAAUGUAACUAAUGUAUCUCCUUCGUAAAGGGUUUCCCCAUAAUGGCCAUGAACAGUUGCUCCGGGGGUGGCCAAAUAAGGCUUAGCUGAUCGUAUCACUAUCGAGUCAACUUGAACAAGUAUAACUUGACCCGAUUUGAGGGGCGGUCCAUUUUUGGCUAUACAUACAUUUUCACAAAUAAACUGUCCAAGACUAAUUAUUUUAGAUGUCUCUGCACAAUAAUAGUGAUGGAGAAAAGACCAAUUCAAAUUGAAUGGAUUUAAAAUAAUGUUACGGCAUGGAUCGGGAUUAAAAAUUUUUCCAUUUUCAUCCAUUAAAUAAUAUUUUAAUUUAAUCACUUGAAAAGUCUGUUUUAAAUUGUCAAGUUGCAAAUAUUUAGUUACUAAGAUCUGAUUAUGAGUUAUUAAAUGGUAAGAUGAAUAAAAAUUCUCAAUUGGAAGGCAUGUUCCUAAAGGGCCCAAUGAAUUCCUAAUUGGAAUUAGGGGAUCUUUUUUAAUUGAUUCUUUUAUCACACUGUGAUAUUUUACAUCUUUGAAUGGCUCCAUUCGAGAACAAUUGGCUGCUGACAAAAUUAUCAACGACUGACAUUCCUUAUUUCUAUUCAACAACGUAUGAAUAGUUCCUUGAGGUUGGUUAAGAGAUUGUUGAAUUUUUGCCUUGGAAUAGGAAUAAAUAGCAGAAAAGGGAUUGAUAUUGGUACAAUCCGAUCCAUUAUCAGAGAGCAAUCCUGACCCCGACGGAUCAUUCCUUUUUCCGAUAUACGAAAUAGGGGAUUUCACUAAGUUGAUUUUUAGGAAAUGUCGAAUCAAACCAUUUGUCCUUAUUUCAACAAAAGAAGCACGGGCUUCUUCGCAAGAAGAACUUUUUUUGUCUUGGUUCCAAUUCAAUACUAAACAAGUCCGAACUAAUUGAAUACUUGUGUCAGAAAUUCCUCGAAUCGGUUUGCCAUUUCCAUAAAGGAUAUAAUUGACAAUUCGAAGUUGCACAUUAUCCCUUUCCUGCAAUGGAUCCGGUGGAAAAAGGGUUCCUAAAUUUAUACCGUCCGUUAUUUCAUAUGUGACGACAGGUCGAACUAAAACAAAAAACCUUUUCUUACUAGGUGUAAUUCGUUGGACAUAGAUCCAAUUUUGAACUUUUUUGUAUUCCUUGGAAUUUCUUUUUCCUGUUCCUGGUGGUAUCAAAACGCCGGUAUGCCUGGAUAUCUUAUCCGUCUCUCCAGGAAAAUGGAUAUCUCCAGAAAAGAUUUUCAGUUCAAUUCGUUUUUUUUUUCUCUCCACCCGGACCAACCCACCGACUCGGCUUCUUAGAUUUAAGGUGAUUUGUGUAUCGACCCCAACGAUACUAUUGUUCCGUACCAUUAGGGAAGAAGAUCCGGGCAAGAUAUGCACCUCUUCAGGAAUGAAAAAAAAUCGAUCUACUUUCAUUUGGUAUUUUGGCCUAAAUUCCUUGACUCCUCGAUACUCAAUCAAAUCCUCUUUUUUGAUGACUGAAUGCGUUUCUAUAGUCCCAUAUUUAAUAAUGCCCGAACUCUUUCUUCUGUAUCGAGGAUCAUCGAAAUAAGCAAGAAUACUAUUUCGACGGAAAAUACCAUUUACGGGGAUUUCAAUCGAGAUACCUGAACAGGGCAUUAGUUCAUUCUCGAGUUCUUGAAUCGAGUGUAGUGGAAUGAUGAAUUUAUUUCUUCGCCUUUUUGACAAUAAAGCAGAAUUCCCGUGAAGAAUAGGCGAAUAUACGAGAUUAUACUGGCCAGUACAUAUGAUUCGAUUAAGGUCUGAAUAAUCAGGAAUCCUAUCUUCUUUUUGACCAUAAAAAUCCGAACUAAACAAUUUCUGCCUCGCCUGAUCAUUGGUUACUGAGAGGUUAGAAGUAUAUCUUCGCUUGCCAGAAAGAGAAUGCGCAUUCAUUUGAUCCUGAUCCUUGUGGAUCGAAAGGUAGACUAGACUGGACCUGCACGGCCCUCCUAAUAAUAUCCAUAAAUGACUUGUUUUUGGUAAUAGAUGAACAUUACCAUAUGUAAAUUCGGGUGCAUGAUAGACAUCGGUACUCCAGUGCAUUUCUCCGUCUGAAUCAGAAUAAAUAUGUUUUCGAACCUUCUCUUUAAAAUUCAAAGUGGAUAUUCCUGCGCGAAUCUCAGCAAUUACUUGUUCUGAUUCUACGUAUUGAUCGUUUUGAACUAAAAGCAAACUUUUGGGUGGAAUAUUCACAUUAUGUAGAAUAUCUUCACUCUCAAUAGUUACAUACAAGUCUAUAGAACAUAGAAAGGCGGGAUGCCCAUGACGUGUACGUGUCGGAUGAACCAAGUCCUCAUUGAAUUUUAUUUUUCCAUUAGAUGGGGCUCGCACAUGUUCUGCAGUACCCCCCGUGAAUACUCCUCCGGUAUGAAAAGUUCGUAAUGUUAAUUGAGUACCCGGUUCUCCAAUCGAUUGACCUGCAAUAAUACCUACAGCUUCCCCCAAUUCAACCAGGUCGCCAUGAGUAGGACUACGCCCAUAACAUAAUCGACAAAUCCAAGAUGUACUCCUAC